AACGAACGCUGGCGGCAGGCCUAACACAUGCAAGUCGAACGCCCCGCAAGGGGAGCGGCAGCCGGGUGAGUAACACGUGGGAACCUUCCCUAUAGUACGGAAUAGCCCAGGGAAACUUGGAGUAAUACCGUAUACGCCCGAAAGGGGAAAGAAUUUCGCUAUAGGAUGGGCCCGCGUAGGAUUAGCUAGUUGGUGAGGUAAUGGCUCACCAAGGCGACGAUCCUUAGAUGGUUUGAGAGAACGACCAGCCACACUGGGACUGAGACACGGCCCAGACUACUACGGGAGGCAGCAGUGGGGAAUAUUGGACAAUGGGCGCAAGCCUGAUACAGCCAUGCCGCGUGAGUGAUGAAGGCCUUAGGGUUGCAAAGCUCUUUUGGCGGGGACGAUAAUGACGGUACCCGCAGAAUAAGUCCCGGCUAACUUCGUG
rnacentral:rRNA from 1 species